CAAAAAUCUAGUUCAUUAUAAAAACUGAUGAAAUUUCUAAUCCUCAUAUGACUGCAAAGAUGCUAGACCUAUGGACCCAACAUUUUUCUUCACACAUCCAACAAAACAGUACAUUACAUGAUUUAAUACAAGUUAUUGAAAACUCUAUAUGCACAAGGUGCUUGGCAGCAUCAUCACAAGUAAUAUCAAUGAUUCAUGCUAUAUUGCUAUUGCAAAUGUUUAACACAUCACAUAAUGUAUAAAAUUAAUAUGCAGUAAGUCUCCCAAUAGCCAACAUUACACUUUAGAUAGUCACACAACAAGCAGACAACAUAUAGUUGUCCCAAAAGCACCGGUUCAGUAUGACACUUUAGUCGCUUUCGGCUAUGAGGCAACCAUGUGAACAAAUUCCCAUUAGUUUCAAUGAGAAAUUGUUCCCUUUACCCCAUUACAUCCAGAAGCAACAGAAAACAUCACCAUUCCCAGCACUGUUUGAAAUUUGCUAGCAUAGAGCAAGGUUAACAAUAUAACAUGAUAUAAGACUUUCCAUGUACAUCAGAAGCUUAUUGUGCAUAUUUAAGCAAGGUUGGCAGCAACCUUUGGUUGAAUUUCUCUUUCUGGUGCCAGAGGCUUCCCAAAGCAGCCUGCAUCUGGUGAAACUUGAGCGCUGAACUCAGGUUUUAUGGUUUCAGCCAUUUUCAUUGCAGGAGGUGAGGGAUAUGGGCUUUUGCUGCACAGUCUGUCCCGUCGCUUCUCAAAAAAUCGCUGAAGAGAAUGUCUCCUUGUAAUUGGUAAUUCAGCUUGCAAUUUGCGAAGGGAGAAGCCUUGAUGAACUGGAAGAACCUGUGCUUGUGGUGAAGGCAGAGCACUUGUACUGCUUUGCGGUGAAGGAGACCUAGUAAGAACAGGCGUACCACCAGCUGGAGAGCCAGAGAUAGCCUUCUUCAUGUCAGCAGGUUUAACGGCUACUGCAGCAGCAGCAGCAGCAGCAAUAAGCAUAAUUUCACGAACCUUUUCUGCAGGAAUUGUAUCAAAUACAAGAAUGCUUCCACCGUAGAAGAUGGUAAGCUGAUCUGAAGUAGGGACAGUAGCAUUUGGUCCACAUGUUGCCAUUGAUACAGGCCUAAAACAAAUAUUAGUUGUUACAGUAUAUUAUAUGUUGCCAGAAUGGAACAUAUCUAACUUUUAUGCAGUUUCUGCCUUGAGAAAGAAUUUGCAUUUAGUAAGAUCAUAAAUAUCUCCCCCAAAACCCCCACUUCAAAUGGAAGUACUUGAGUAAUCAUGCAAUGAAUAUUUCCUUGUUGACAUUGAGAGGCGCAAAGGGAGUAAUCAAACAAGGUAGAGAAACAAGAACAUCAUACAUAAAUAGAUAUGACCAGUCAAUUGUGCCCGACCGCUGAUUUUUUGCUCUGUAAAAUUCCAAAUACAAACACGAGUGCCAACCUUCAGGCUGAAUAUAAAAUGAUCAAUCCUAUUCAGGGAUAUAGGAAUCUUAUAACUCACUGCAAUUUAGAAAUGUUUUCCGUUUAUUAAAUAAGAACUAAUGCCACUCAUUAUCAUUGCAACUCAUUCAUUAAAAUCCUUUGGAAUCUAUGCUGCACAUGCAAGCAAAAGGCCUAAAUUCCAAUCUAGGCGUUAUUUACAAAAGUGAAAUAACAAUGCAUAGUGUUCUCCUCAUUGAAGACAAGGUUGUAAGUUCAAAUUUCCCCUACCUCCCUCAACUAUCACAAGUAAAAAAUUUAAAAGAAAAUUGAAGGGAGCGUAUCUAUACAUUAUCCAGCAAGAUGCAUCCACUUGAAUGCUGAAUACACAAUCCAAAGAGUUCACUUGUGCUCUUGUUCGGUUUUCUAGAAAUAGAUUAGGAAAAAGGGAGUGCCAGUCAGAUAUCCUGUGCGACUUCCAUUUUUUAGGAGCAUCAGGCUGAGUGUUGGGGUAAUUUCUCAGCUUAAAACUCAAAAUUGGAAAAUUCCAUCUAAUUAAAGAAUAAGUAAGCCAAAAGGUAGUAUCCCAUUAUAGGAUUUGCAUUCCAAUUCAUUUCAGAACAAAUUAAACGGUUCUUUAAGAUAAUGAAGCAACGAAUCAAAGACAAUACAAUGGUAUUCAAUUCUCCACAAGCUCCCUUAAAACUUUAACUAGUUUGCUUUUAUUUCCUUAAUUAACCUUUCACCAGAUUCCAAUCUACACUUUUUUUUUACCACUGAAACCUCACUACCAACAUCGUUUCACUCUUCUCCUUUGCUUUUUGCAAAAAUACAACAGAUCCCAUCUCCCAAUCCCUUUCUCUUCUUUAAGCUAACUAAACGCCACCCCACCCCACAAAUAAAAAAAAAAUGCCAUAGAGUCUUACCUGGAGCUGUUGGUCCAGGGAAGAACCCCUUCCUUGCAAGAUCCCAUGUUCUCAUCAGCUCCAUUAGUAGCAGGCAGCUCCUCGCCAGCUUUGGCCUUCACUUCCUCAUAGGAAUCAGAAUCACCCUCCAUUUGAAGAAGACCAGAGAGUAUAACCCCCAAAUUUCUUGCCUCUCUUCCUCUUGGG
rnacentral:misc_RNA from 1 species